rnacentral:lncRNA from 1 species
AGAAUACUCUAAUAAGGCUCUUCGUAGUCCCGUAGAUAACCCACCGAGAUGUUUCCAAUUAGUACUUUGCGUACCCCAACGUAUAUUCGGAUGCGUGCUCAUUUCCGUUUUGCGUGCCACCCAUGGGAAUACGUGAGUCAUUUUAUUUCCAUGGUUACACACUUGGGUACGCAAAGUUUUGUUUUCCAGUAAUGUAUGACAGAAGAAAAUAGAUUAAUCGCAGCAACCACGCCA